CGCACACCGUUUUUUAAUCAGCGCUCAAAUGCAUUGAAUGUGCGCACAGAAGAACUGCCACUUGCUGGAUGACUUUUGAUUUUUGUACCAUUCUCUGUAAAACUCUCGAGAAUGUUUUGCGUGAAAAUCCCGGGAGAUCAGCGGUUUCUGGGAUACUCAAACCACCCCAUCUGACACCAACAAUCAUUCCACAGUCAAAGUCACUUCAAACACAUUUCUUCCCCAUUCUGAUACUCAGUCUGAACAACAACUGAACCUCCUGACCACAUCUGCAUGCUUUUAUGGAGUUCUGCCAAGUAAUUGGCUGCCCAGGUUUCCUACCCAAUUUGUUUUCCAUUUCCACACAAUUUUGAGCGAUAAAAAGAGCUUCGUAUGGCCAGAUUUGGGAACAGCUUCUUUCCAACUGCGAUAAGACUGCCGAACGGACCCUGACCCGGAUCUGGGACGUACCUUCCAAAUAUCCGGACCUGACUUGCACUACCGUACUUCCCCUUUUCUAUUUUCUAAUUAUGAUUUAUAAUUUAAAUUUUUAUUAUAUUUACUUCGAUUUGAACUUAAGGGAGCGCGAAGCGCAGAAUCAAAUAUCGUUGUGAUGAUUGUACGCUCAAGAAUCAAUUGUUUGGUGACAAUAAAGUAAAGUGAAGU